UUGGUUAUGCUGAUAAGAGCGUAUGGUGGAUGCCUUGGCACUAAGAGCCGAUGAAAGACGUGAUAAGCUGCGAAAAGCUUCGGGGAGGAGCAAAUAUCCAUUGAUCCGGAGAUUUCUGAAUGGGGAAACCUACUUGAGCAAACCUCAAGUAUCCUAACGCCAAUCCAUAACGUUAGGAAGGGAACCCGGUGAACUGAAACAUCUAAGUAGCCGGAGGAAGAGAAAACAACAUGUGAUUCUGUGAGUAGCGGCGAGCGAAAGCGGAAGAGCCCAAACCGGAGUGCGUGCACUCCGGGGUUCGGACCGCAGAAUUGAUUCAAUAAGUCUAGCAGAAUGGUUUUGGGAAAGCCAGCCAGAGAGGGUGAAAGCCCCGUAAGCGAAAGACGAGUUGACAUGGCGGUAUCCAGAGUACCACGAGACACGAGAAACCUUGUGGGAAUGAGCGGGGACCACCCCGUAAGGCUAAAUACUUCUUAGUGACCGAUAGCGCAUAGUACUGUGAAGGAAAGGUGAAAAGGACCCCGGGAGGGGAGUGAAAGAGAACCUGAAACCAUAUGUUUACAAGCUGUGGAACAUCUUUAUAUGAUGAACCGCGUACUUUUUGUAGAACGGUCCGGCGAGUUACGCUGGCUGGCGAGGUUAAGCACUUCAAGGUGUGGAGCCGAAGGGAAACCAAGUCUGAAUAGGGCGUGAAGUCAGUCAGAGUAGACCCGAAACCGGGUGAUCUAUCCAUGUCCAGGUUGAAGUUGCCGUAAAAGGCAAUGGAGGACCGAACCCACAUCCGUUGAAAAGGGUGGGGAUGAGGUGUGGAUAGGGGAGAAAUUCCAAUCGAACCCGGAGAUAGCUGGUUCUCCUCGAAAUAGCUUUAGGGCUAGCCUCAUACGAGUCUUGCGGAGGUAGAGCACUGAAUUCUUAAGGGGGCGUCAAAGCUUACUAAGAGAUAUCAAACUCCGAAUGCCGCGUAGAUGAUGUAUGGGAGUCAGACUGCACGAGAUAAGUUGGGUAGUCAAAAGGGAAAGAGCCCAGACCUACAGCUAAGGUCCCAAAAUGUGUGUUAAGUGGAAAAGGAUGUGGGAUUUCGAAGACAACUAGGAUGUUGGCUCAGAAGCAGCCAUCCAUUAAAAGAGUGCGUAAUAGCUCACUAGUCGAGAGGUCCUGCGCCGAAAAUGUCCGGGGCUGAAACACACUACCGAAGCUUAGGAAUUAACGAAUGUUAAUUGGUAGAGGAGCAUUCUUAAAGAGACGAAGCUGUACCGAAAGGAGCAGUGGAUUUUUAAGAAGAGAGAAUGCCGGAAUGAGUAGCGAGAGGAAGGUGNNNNNNNNNNNNNNNNNNNNNNNNNNNNNNNNNNNNNNNNNNNNNNNNNNNNNNNNNNNNNNNNNNNNNNNNNNNNNNNNNNNNNNNNNNNNNNNNNNNNNNNNNNNNNNNNNNNNNUCCGGCCGAAUAUCUAAGGUUUCCAGCGUAAAGCUGAUCUGCGCUGGGUAAGUCGGGGCCUAAGGCGAGGUCGAAAGACGUAGUCGAUGGAUAACAGGUUGAAAUUCCUGUACUAUGAUAUAACAGAACUGUGGGGACGCAGGGAGAGAGCGCGAGCCGGGAACGGAAAGCCCGGCGCAAGCGAGGUACCGGUCUGUCAGGAAAAUCCGGCAGGCAACGGGAAGACGUGAUGCGGACCGAAAAAGAGUAGGGAAGAGCGUGAGCUAACUGCCAAGAAAAGCCGCUAUUGUUUAUAUCAUACCCGUACCGUAAACCGACACAGGUGGAUGAGGAGAGAAUCCUAAGGCCGACGGGAGAAGCAUUGUUAAGGAACUCGGCAAAAUGACUCCGUAACUUCGGGAGAAGGAGUGCCAUGCGAAUGGCCGCAGAGAAUUGGCCCAAGCAACUGUUUAGCAAAAACACAGGUCUAUGCAAAACCGAAAGGUGAGGUAUAUGCUGACGCCUGCCCGGUGCUGGAAGGUUAAGGGGAGAGGUUAGCGCAAGCGAAGCUUUGAACUUAAGCCCCAGUAAACGGCGGCCGUAACUAUAACGGUCCUAAGGUAGCGAAAUUCCUUGUCGGGUAAGUUCCGACCCGCACGAAAGGCGUAAUGAUUUGGGCACUGUCUCAACAAUGCACCCGGUGAAAUUGAAAUACCAGUGAAGAUGCUGGUUACCUGCGCCAGGACGGAAAGACCCCAUGGAGCUUUACUCCAGCUUGAUACUGGGAUUCGAUAUUGCAUGUACAGGAUAGGUGGGAGACUAGGAGACGGUAACGCCAGUUGCCGUGGAGUCGAUGUUGGGAUACCACCCUUGCAGUAUUGGGUUUCUAACCAGCAGCCGUGAUCCGGCUGGGGGACAAUGUCAGGUGGGGAGUUUGACUGGGGCGGUCGCCUCCGAAAGGGUAUCGGAGGCGCUCAAAGGUUCCCUCAGAAUGGUUGGAAACCAUUCGAAGAGUGCAAAGGCAGAAGGGAGCUUGACUGCGACACCGACGGGUGGAGCAGGUACGAAAGUAGGACUUAGUGAUCCGGUGGUAUAAAGUGGGAUUGCCAUCGCUCAACGGAUAAAAGCUACCCUGGGGAUAACAGGCUUAUCACUCCCAAGAGUUCACAUCGACGGAGUGGUUUGGCACCUCGAUGUCGGCUCAUCGCAUCCUGGGGCUGAAGUAGGUCCCAAGGGUUGGGCUGUUCGCCCAUUAAAGCGGUACGCGAGCUGGGUUCAGAACGUCGUGAGACAGUUCGGUCCCUAUCCGGCGUGGGCGUAGGAUAUUUGAGAGGAGCUGUCCUUAGUACGAGAGGACCGGGAUGGACUGGCCGCUGGUGUACCUGUUGCAUCGCCAGAUGCAUGGCAGGGUAGCCAAGCCGGGAAGGGAUAAACGCUGAAGGCAUCUAAGCGUGAAGCCCCCCUCAAGAUAAGAUAUCCCAUAACGUCAAGUUAGUAAGACCCCUUGAAGACGACGAGGUAGAUAGGGCAGAGGUGGAAGUGUGGUAACACAUGGAGCUGACUGUUACUAAUAGGUCGAGGGCAUAACCAGAA
rnacentral:rRNA from 1 species